AGAAGAUGUCAAGGGCGCACGGCGGAUGCCUUGGCACAGGAAGCCGAAGAAGGACGCGGCAAGCCGCGAUAGUCUGCGGGGAGGGGCAAACACCCUUCGAUCCGCAGGUUUCCGAAUGGGGGAACCCGGCAGGGGUCAUGCCCUGCUACCCCGAGCUGAAUCAAAUAGGCUCGGAGGAGGCAACCCGGGGAACUGAAACAUCUAAGUACCCGGAGGAACAGAAAUCAACCGAGAUUGCGCGAGUAGCGGCGAGCGAAAGCGCACCAGCCCAAACCCAUGCACGUGCAAGCUUGAGGGCGUUGCUGCAUGCGGUGUUGUGGGACCUUCCCCUCCCAGGGCCUCAGACCUGGGACGGAGUUACAAAGCGUCGCGGUAGCGGAACGGCAUGGAAAGGCCGGCCGCAGCGGGUAAGAGCCCCGUACGCGAAACCCCGACGCCUCCGAGGAAGGCACCCGAGUAGUGCCGGGCACGUGAAACCCGGUGCGAAUCAGGGGGGACCACCCUCCAAGGCUGAAUACUCUCCUGUGACCGAUAGCGAACCAGUACCGUGAGGGAAAGGUGAAAAGCACCCCGAGAGGGGAGUGAAACAGUACCUGAAACCGUGCGCCUACAAGCAGUCGGAGCACUCCUGCAGUGUGACGGCGUGCCUUUUGUAGAAUGAGCCAGCGAGUUGCGGUAAGCGGCGAGGUUAAGGUUGGAACCGAGCCGCAGUGAAAGCGAGCCUUUAAGAUGGCGACAGAGUCGCUUGCCGCAGACGCGAAGCCGGGUGAGCUAUCCAUGGGCAGGCUGAAGCGGGGGUAAGACCCCGUGGAGGGCCGAACCCACUUCGGUUGAAAACGGAGGGGAUGACCCGUGGAUAGGGGUGAAAGGCCAAUCAAACCCGGAGAUAUCUCGUUCUCCCCGAAAUAGCUUUAGGGCUAGCCUCGGUCGUUCAGUCGCGGAGGUAGAGCACUGGAUCUUCUAGGGGGCUUCACCGCCUACCGAAAAGAACCAAACUCCGAAUACCGCGACUUAAGAGACCGGGAGUCAGAGCAUGUGGGCUAAGCUGCGUGCUCGAGAGGGAAACAGCCCAGACCGCCCGCUAAGGUCCCCAAGUUCGUGCUGAGUGGCAAAGGAUGUGCGUUUGCCUAGACAACCAGGAUGUUGGCUUAGAAGCAGCCAUGCAUUUAAAGAGUGCGUAACAGCUCACUGGUCAAGUGGACAUGCGCCGACAAUUCACGGGGCUAAGCAUAACACCGAAGCGGCGGACUAAUCUAUAUUAGUGGUAGGGGAGCUUUCCCCGCAGCGGAGAAGCCGAGAGGGCGACCCUCGGUGGAGCGCGGGGAAGUGAGAAUGCUGGCAUGAGUAACGAGAGCGGCGCGAGAAACGCCGCCGCCGUAAGCCUAAGGGUUCCUGGGCAAGGCUAAUCCUCCCAGGGUCAGUCGGGAGCUAAGGCGAGGCCGAGAGGCGUAGCCGAUGCGCAACAGGCGGACAUUCCUGUACCGCCUGCGGACCGCUAUCACCGACGGGGUGACGGAGAAGGGUAGCCGAGCGGGGUUCUGGACGUCCCCGUGAAAGCGCGUAGGGAGCAUCGCAUGGAAAUCAGCGGCGCAUAUAUCCUGAGACGCGAGACGAAAGCUUAUGCUGAAGUCGGCGAGCCCAUGCUUCCGAGAAAAACCUCUAGGAAGGGACGCAGGCGCCCGUACCAAAACCGACACAGGUGGGCAGGUAGAGCAUACCGAGGCGAUCGGGAGAACCAUGGUUAAGGAACUCGGCAUACUGACUCCGUAACUUCGGGAGAAGGAGUGCCCCUGGCGGUGACGGGACUUGCUCCCCGAGCGGCCGGGGGUCGCAGCGAAACGGCCCAAGCGACUGUUUAUCAAAAACACAGGACUCUGCAAAGCCGUAAGGCGACGUAUAGGGUCUGACGCCUGCCCGGUGCUGGAAGGUUACGCGGAUGGGUCAGCCGCAAGGCGAAGCUCUGAAGCCAAGCCCCAGUAAACGGCGGCCGUAACUAUAACGGUCCUAAGGUAGCGAAAUUCCUUGUCGGGUAAGUUCCGACCUGCACGAAUGGCGUAACGAUUUGGGCGCUGUCUCAACCAU
rnacentral:rRNA from 1 species